rnacentral:rRNA from 1 species
AUUGAACGCUGGCGGCAUGCCUUACACAUGCAAGUCGAACGGCAGCACGGGUGCUUGCACCUGGUGGCGAGUGGCGAACGGGUGAGUAAUAUAUCGGAACGUACCUUAUUGUGGGGGAUAACGCAGCGAAAGCUGUGCUAAUACCGCAUAAUCCCUAAGGGGGAAAGCGGGGGACCGGAAGGCCUCGCGCAAUUAGAGCGGCCGAUACCUGAUUAGCUAGUUGGUGAGGUAAAGGCUCACCAAGGCAACGAUCAGUAGCUGGUCUGAGAGGACGAUCAGCCACACUGGAACUGAGACACGGCCCAGACUCCUACGGGAGGCAGCAGUGGGGAAUUUUGGAAAAUGGGGGCAACCCUGAUCCAGCAAUGCCGCGUGAGUGAAGAAGGCCGUCGGGUUGUAAAGCUCUUUUGUCAGGGAAGAAACAGCAGCUCUAACACAGUAUGCGAAUGACGGUACCUGAAGAAUAAGCACCGGCUAACUACGUGCCAGCCGCCGCAGUAA